UUCGCCACACCCACGCCCUUCGCCAUAGUACCAAUAAGGUACGGCGUCAAGGGCUGCGGGCGAAGAGUUUUCGCCACACGCCGCGCCCUUCGCCAUAGUACCAAUAAGGUACGGCGUCAAGGGCUGCGGGCGAAGAGGUUUCGCCACACCCACGCCCUUUGCCAUAGUGCCAAUAAGGCUGCGGGUGAAGAGGUUUCGCCACACGCCACGCCCCACGCCACGCCCUUCGCCAUACGUCAAUGGCUGCGGGCGAAGAGGUUUCGCCACACCCACGCCCUCACGCCCUUUGCCAUAGUACCAAUAAGGAACGGCGUCAAGGGCUACGGGCGAAGAGGUUUCGCCACAUGCCACGCCCUUCGCCAUAGCGCCAAUAAGGCAUGGAGUCUAGGGCUGCGGGCGAAGAGGUUUCGCCACAACCACGCCCUUCGCCAUAGUACCAAUAAUGGCUGCGGGCGAAGAGGUUUCGCCACAACCAUGCCCUUCGCCAUAGUGCCAAUAAGGCACGGCGUCAAGGGCUGCGGGCGAAGAGGUUUCGGCACACGCCACGCCCUUCGCCAUAGUGCCAAUAAGGCAUGGCGUCAAGGGCUGUGGGCGAAGAGGUUUCGCCACACGCCACGCCCUUCACCAUAG
rnacentral:lncRNA from 1 species